GAGGGCAUAGCUAAGUGGUAGAGUGCAUGCUUAGCGUGCAUGAGAUCCUGGGUUCAGUUCCAAGUACCUCA
rnacentral:tRNA from 1 species